rnacentral:rRNA from 1 species
UACGAAGGGGGCUAGCGUUGCUCGGAAUGACUGGGCGUAAAGGGCGCGUAGGCGGACGGCUUUGUCGGGCGUGAAAUUCCAGGGCUUAACCUUGGGGCUGCGUUCGAGACGGGUUGUCUAGAGUUUGGAAGAGGGUCGUGGAAUUCCCAGUGUAGAGGUGAAAUUCGUAGAUAUUGGGAAGAACACCGGUGGCGAAGGCGGCGACCUGGUCCUUGACUGACGCUGAGACGCGAAAGCGUGGGGAGCAAACAGG